rnacentral:rRNA from 1 species
UACAGAGGGGGCAAGCGUUGUUCGGAAUUACUGGGCGUAAAGCGCACGUAGGCGGCUUUCUAAGUCAGGGGUGAAAUCCUGGAGCUCAACUCCAGAACUGCCUUUGAUACUGGAAAGCUUGAGUUCGGGAGAGGUGAGUGGAACUGCGAGUGUAGAGGUGAAAUUCGUAGAUAUUCGCAAGAACACCAGUGGCGAAGGCGGCUCACUGGCCCGGAACUGACGCUGAGGCGCGAAAGCGUGGGGAGCAAACAGG